GCCUGAGCCUCAGCACCUUGGCUUUAGACUGCUUACUGCUCCCCAGCUGACAGCCCAGUAACAGUCUACAGUCAUGGCUACUGAAGCCGGGC
rnacentral:pre_miRNA from 10 species